rnacentral:rRNA from 1 species
UACGUAGGGCGCAAGCGUUGUCCGGAAUUAUUGGGCGUAAAGAGCUCGUAGGCGGCCUGUUGCGUCCGCUGUGAAAUCCCGGGGCUCAACCCCGGGCCUGCAGUGGAUACGGGCUGGCUAGAGGCAGGCAGGGGAGAACGGAAUUCCUGGUGUAGCGGUGAAAUGCGCAGAUAUCAGGAGGAACACCGGUGGCGAAGGCGGUUCUCUGGGCCUGUACUGACGCUGAGGCGCGAAAGCGUGGGGAGCAAACAGG